AUUCCAGCUCCAAUAGCGUAUAUUAAAGUUGUUGCGGUUAAAAAGCUCGUAGUUGGAUUUCUGCCGAGGAUGACCGGUCCGCCCUGUGGGUGUGCAUCUGGCUCAGCCUUGGCAUCUUCCUGAAGAACGUAGCUGCACUUGACUGUGUGGUGCGGUAUUUAGGACAUUUACUUUGAGGAAAUUAGAGUGUUUCAAGCAAGCGCACGCUUUGAAUACAUUAGCAUGGAAUAAUAAGAUAGGACCUCGGUUCUAUUUUGUUGGUUUCUAGAGCUGAGGUAAUGACUGAUAGGGAUAGUUGGGGGUAUUCAUAUUUACAUGUCAGAGGUGAAAUUCUUGGAUUUUGGAAAGAUGAACUACUGCGAAGGCAUUUACCAAGGAUGUUUUCAUUG
rnacentral:rRNA from 1 species